AGUGAACGCUGGCGGUAGGCCUAACACAUGCAAGUCGAACGGCAGCACAGUAAGAGCUUGCUCUUACGGGUGGCGAGUGGCGGACGGGUGAGGAAUACAUCGGAAUCUACUUUUUCGUGGGGGAUAACGUAGGGAAACUUACGCUAAUACCGCAUACGACCUACGGGUGAAAGCAGGGGAUCUUCGGACCUUGCGCGAUUGAAUGAGCCGAUGUCGGAUUAGCUAGUUGGCGGGGUAAAGGCCCACCAAGGCGACGAUCCGUAGCUGGUCUGAGAGGAUGAUCAGUCACACUGGAAGUGAGACACGGUCCAGACUCCUACGGGAGGCAGCAGUGGGGAAUAUUGGACAAUGGGCGCAAGCCUGAUCCAGCCAUACCGCGUGGGUGAAGAAGGCCUUCGGGUUGUAAAGCCCUUUUGUUGGGAAAGAAAAGCAGCAGGUUAAUACCCCGCUGUUCUGACGGUACCCAAAGAAUAAGCACCGGCUAACUUCGUG
rnacentral:rRNA from 1 species